CUUUACGAUGAUAUGGGGAAGAUAGUACGACAACUUGGCUACUCCGUACGAUACUUGUGACGGGAAAGGAAGGCCGAAGGAGGACUGAGGAGGAACGUUCGCGCAUAAUCAAAACAUUGGACAGCCAUUCCAGCAACGACGUGAUUAACGCGCCAUGUUCGAAUAAUUCGUCUGCCUUCGCGUCUGUGUUCGAGUCUGUUGGUUAUCAUCUCAUCGGAAAGGAAGCAAAUCUGCGAUCAUGCCCGGAAGAGCGCCAAGAGCCAGAAGGACCCAAGGUCGUGGGAAGAAACAGUCUGAAAGGUCCAGCGUGAUUCCUGCCGACCCACCGUCUGCCAAUGCAGAUGUUAUUCUUGUUGAUCUGUCUUCUUGCAAUGCAGAUUCAUUGACCGUCCCACAAUUCCCACGGAGGGGUCGAGGAACAAGAAAUCAAUUAAGGGUAUCCAGAGUUUUGGAACGACCUUCCAAUGCAAAUGUAUUAUUACCCCCACAGCGUUCUAGGAGAGGGAGAACUAGAAAUCGAGAGGAGACAAAUCGAUCAAGGCCAGUCUCCAUUUUUCCUGAUGAGCUGCCUCCUAUCGCAGGUUCAUUAUCUGCUCCACAGUCUUCACAUAGGAGAGGGAGACGUAGAAGUCAAGGGGAUAGAAGUCAGUCAAGGCCAUCCAGAACUCCCCGUAAUCAUCCGCCUCCCAAUAGAAAUUCAUCAUCUGCCCCACGGUCAUCACAGAGGAAAAUCUGCAACCUCUUUGGACUUACUAGUGCAGAUAAGUGAGAGGUGACUGUAUUUGCACUCUUUCCAUGAUCAGGGGCUGACUCUGUUGUGACGUCCAUUUUCAAAACAUCCCUUUUUCAUCUCCGAAGACUAUUAUUCAGCAUGAUCCAGAAGAAACAUGCAACCCAGAGCUAGACCAUUAGUGAUUAGCCUUGACGUCACAUACUCGAGUGAUGAACUGGAAAAUGAGAUCCCAUCCUCUCCUGAGAAGGAACCAGACACACUAUUGAAUUUCUCCUUGACUCCUAGGUAAUAAAUUAGCUAAUGCUUUGUUUUUGUAUAUAUAUUUAUAGAACUGGAAAAGUAGACCAAAUAAUUUGCAUGAUUCUCUGAUGUUACAAGGGGUUUGACAAACUGGUAGGUAAUGCAUUCCAAUUAACCUUUCAAGGGUUGAAAGUACCAUGUAGAAUGUGAACAUUCAAAGAAUAAGUGCAUAAAAACGUAGGUUAAAGUUUAGGGAUAUGGGCAAAUAGAUACUGUAACUAAAAAUGUACUGUCAACCAUCAACAGAAUUACAGUACAAAGAGGUUUAAUACGCUUUAAGUUAAUUAUAUCUGGAAAUUCUGUAGUUGCAGUCUGUGAUUGCAUAAUUUUAGCCGUAUUGGAUACAGCAUUUAUUUAUUUCUGCCCUAACAAAAACAUUUUUGUACAUGGAACUUACCCAGC